AAUAUUGGGCAAUGGGGGCAACCCUGAUCCAGCCAUGCCGCGUGAGUGAUGAAGGCCUNAGGGUUNUNAAGCUCUCUCAGUGGGGNCGAUAAUGACGGUACUCACACAAGAAGCCCCGGCUAACUUCGUGCCAGCAGCCGCGGUAAUACGAAGGGGGCUAGCGUUGUUCGGAUUUACUGGGCGUAAAGCGCACGUAGGCGGAUUGGUCAGUUAGGGGUGAAAUCCCGGAGCUCAACUCCGGAACUGCCUUUAAUACUGCCAGUCUAGAGUCCGAGAGAGGUGAGUGGAACUCCUAGUGUAGAGGUGGAAUUCGUAGAUAUUAGGAAGAACACCAGUGGCGAAGGCGGCUCACUGGCUCGGUACUGACGCUGAGGUGCGAAAGCGUGGGGAGCAAAC
rnacentral:rRNA from 1 species